rnacentral:rRNA from 1 species
UACGGGGGGAGCAAGCGUUGUUCGGAUUUACUGGGCGUAAAGGGCGCGUAAGCGGCGCAACAAGUCACUUGUGAAAUCUCCGGGCUUAACUCGGAAAGGUCAAGUGAUACUGUUGUGCUAGAGUGCGGAAGGGGCAACUGGAAUUCUCGGUGUAGCGGUGAAAUGCGUAGAUAUCGAGAGGAACACCUGCGGCGAAGGCGGGUUGCUGGGCCGACACUGACGCUGAUGCGCGAAAGCCAGGGGAGCAAACGGG